GUCCCGGUUAGUGGCGAUUUGGCCGGUCGCUUGCAGCCACUUUAAACAACUUGCUAAAGACCGUUUGGAGCCGGCC
rnacentral:ncRNA from 1 species